rnacentral:rRNA from 1 species
ACACGACUACAUUAGAUACCCGGGUAGUCCUAGCCGUAAACGAUACUCGCUAGGUGUCGGCCACGGUGCGACCGUUGUCGGUGCCGUAGGGAAGCCAUGAAGCGAGCCACCUGGGAAGUACGGCCGCAAGGCUGAAACUUAAAGGAAUUGGCGGGGAGCACCACAAGAGGUGGAGGCUGCGGUUCAAUUGGACUCAACGCCGGAAAACUCAUCGGGAGCGACAGCAGUAUGAUUGCCAGGUUGAUGACCUUGCUUGACAAGCUG